rnacentral:tRNA from 1 species
GGCCGUGUGGCGCAAUGGAUAACGCGUCUGCCUACGGAGGUAGCUGUAGGUUCGAUCCCUACCAUGGUCG